rnacentral:tRNA from 1 species
GCGCCCGUAGCUCAGCUGGAUAGAGUACCGGGCUUCGAACCAGGUGGUCGGGGGUUGGAGUCCCUCCGAGCGCGCCA